CAUUUUAUUUUAUGUUAUUUGAUUUGUCUCUGGGUUUUGCUUAUUAGCAGUAUUUGUAGUUCAGUAUGAAGGUCUCAGUGGUGGUCCUACAGGUGGAUUGUGUGAAGGCUGAGGAACGAGCCAUUCUUGAUAAAUUUGGUGUCUAAUAGAACUGGGGUUGAACUUCUUGUUUCCAAGUCUUGCUUGUAGCCUGAGUGUCGAUGCAUCUCUUCCUUCCCUUGCUCUGUAAUCUUCAGGAUUUAGCUUUGACUUGUUUUAUCCCUUCUUACACCAUAGCUGUCAGUGGCCUAAAACUCUGCUUGAUAUGUUUUUUUGAUCUCAUUCCUGGCCGGUGUGUCCAUCCCUGCUGUCUAAUGAUGGUGCAGCCAUGAGCUCUGGGAGCCAUCAUCCCUAAACUCAGUCUCAUUGAACCCAACACCUGCUCUAAACCACUCAAAUACCUGUGUACUCACACACAUAGGAUGGGUUUCCACUUGCUGUCUUUCCAGCUAACACAGUGAAUCCUGGCUGGACUGAGCACAUUGAAUCCAGUUUGUUCUGCCCACCAUUUGCAUUCUGCUCUCAGGCCAUCCUUCCAAGAUAACUGAAGAACUUGGCCUGUACAAUGUUGGGAUGAGCUUUUAGGUGGAUUGCAGUCUUUGGAUGAAGGGUGAACGUUGAUCUUCAUGGAAAUAAUUUCUUCUCUGGAGGAGAAGUGCAGAUGUAGGAUGCAGAGAAUCCACCUCCUGCAUUUGACACUUUAUCAACCUGAGCUCAGGACGUGUGUCCCGCUGCUGUGUCUUAGCACAGCAAGGAUGCAGCUCCCAGCAGCUCUGCCUCUCCCACCAGGAUCUUUCCUCUGCAGGUGACCUCCUGCCACACCUGAGUUUCUUCCAGCCUCCUGCUCCAGUGUGCAGUGAUCCUGUUGGAUGUCUGAUACUGUAGAGUGCUGAUAUGUGACCCAGGACGCUGAUUCACAGUGAUCUUUCACAGCAUAAGAAGAGAAGAGCACACACAUGGCAGGUCCCAGCUACAUCAGUUGCUGCAUGUGUGAAAUAUGUCCAGACCUUUAUCCUGAUUGCUGCAGCCAUCACUGCCUUGAGGCAGUAGAAGAGGACUUCUGCUUGUUCUGCACCCUGGCACUGCCACACGGCUUCACCACAGUGGAGUCAGCUCCAGACUGUACCUGCUGAAUGGAGCUGACAAGGAGAUCUUGGCACAGCAGGGUUUGGUUUUCUGUCUGUGGGUGAAAAUGUGGUUUAGAUUCUGGUAUGGGUUGGUGCUACAGAGUAGAUCCAGCACCACAGUGUGUGUCUGUGAGCUGUGAUGGCAGCUGCCACUUCACACAACUCGGUGACGUACGGGGAGUGUUGUAUUCAGAGGAAUUAUCCAUAGUCUGUAACAUUCCUGAUGUUCUGUUAGCUUUGUGUAGGUUCCUACACUGUUGAAAGUGCAUUUGAAGCUGAAUUUUUCAGGGCCUGUGUAUGUACUAUUACACAGAUGAUUGCAAAUACCCACCAUGACCUCCCCUGUUUAGAAUAAAAACAUCUAUGACA